rnacentral:rRNA from 1 species
AGGACGAACGCUGGCGGCGUGCUUAACACAUGCAAGUCGAGCGGAAAGGCCCUUAGGGGUACUCGAGCGGCGAACGGGUGAGUAACACGUGAGUAAUCUGCCCCUAGCUCUGGGAUAGCUCCGGGAAACCGGGAUUAAUACCGGAUACGACCACUUUAGACAUCUGUUGUGGUGGAAAGAAUUUUGGCUAGGGAUGAGCUCGCGGCCUAUCAGCUUGUUGGUGGGGUAAUGGCCUACCAAGGCGACGACGGGUA